AGUGAACGCUGGCGGUAGGCCUAACACAUGCAAGUCGAACGGCAGCACAGUAAGAGCUUGCUCUUACGGGUGGCGAGUGGCGGACGGGUGAGGAAUACAUCGGAAUCUACUUUUUCGUGGGGGAUAACGUAGGGAAACUUACGCUAAUACCGCAUACGACCUACGGGUGAAAGCAGGGGAUCUUCGGACCUUGCGCGAUUGAAUGAGCCGAUGUCGGAUUAGCUAGUUGGCGGGGUAAAGGCCCACCAAGGCGACGAUCUGUAGCUGGUCUGAGAGGAUGAUCAGCCACACUGGAACUGAGACACGGUCCAGACUCCUACGGGAGGCAGCAGUGGGGAAUAUUGGACAAUGGGCGCAAGCCUGAUCCAGCCAUACCGCGUGUGUGAAGAAGGCCUUCGGGUUGUAAAGCCCUUUUGUUGGGAAAGAAAAGCAGCAGGUUAAUACCCCGCUGUUCUGACGGUACCCAAAGAAUAAGCACCGGCUAACUUCGUG
rnacentral:rRNA from 1 species